CAGCAUCAGUUUUGGCCGGUGGAUAAAGGUUCAGGGAAUGUGGCAUCUUCGGAUGUGUUAUAGCCUUGGGUCACAUACAUCGGCUGGGACUGAGGAACUCAGCGCGCCGCAAGGACGGGUUUCGACCACGUUCGCGCUUAGGAUGCUGGCAUAAUGGCUUUAAUCGA
rnacentral:rRNA from 1 species